rnacentral:rRNA from 1 species
UACGGAGGGUGCAAACGUUGCUCGGAAUUAUUGGGCGUAAAGCGCACGUAGGCGGCCCAGCAAGUCGGAUGUGAAAUCCCUCGGCUUAACCGAGGACGUGCAUCGGAAACUGCUGGCCUUGAGUACGAAAGAGGAUAGCGGAAUUCCCGGUGUAGAGGUGAAAUUCGUAGAUAUCGGGAGGAACACCAGUGGCGAAGGCGGCGAUCUGGGUCGAUACUGACGCUGAGGUGCGAAAGCGUGGGGAGCAAACAGG